CAACCCUCAAGCCCCCGGGCUUGGUGUUGGGGAUCGGCCCGCCCCUAGCGGCGCGCCGUCCCUGAAAUCUAGUGGCGGUCUCGCGAUAGCCUCCUCUGCGUAGUAGCAAUAUCUCGCACCGGAACGUCGCCUGGCCACGCCGUUAAACCCCCCACUUCUGAAA
rnacentral:misc_RNA from 1 species